GCGCGAAAACUUUACAAUGCCGGCAACGGCGAUAAGGGGACCUCGAGUGCCAGGUUACAAAUCUGGCUGUCGUGAUGCCUAAAAAGCAUUGCAUAGCAAGGGCCGGGCAAGACCGGUGCCAGCCGCCGCGGUAACACCGGCGGCUCGAGUGGUAACCGUUAUUAUUGGGUCUAAAGGGUCUGUAGCCGGCCGGAUAAGUCUCUUGGGAAAUCCAGCAGCUCAACUGUUGGGCUUUCAGGAGAUACUGUCUGGCUCGAGGCCGGGAGAGGUGAGAGGUACUUCAGGGGUAGGGGUGAAAUCUUGUAAUCCUUGAAGGACCACCAGUGGCGAAGGCGUCUCACCAGAACGGACCUGACGGCAAGGGACGAAAGCUAGGGGCACGAACCGG
rnacentral:rRNA from 1 species